UAACAAGGUCUCCGUUGGUGAACCAGCGGAGGGAUCAUUAUCGAGUUAUUCAACUCCCAAACCCUAUGUGAACUUACCACUUGUUGCUUCGGCGCGCGCUUCGGCGCCGCCGAGGACACUUAAACUCUUUGUUUUUAUAAGCAUUUCUGAGUGGCCGAAAGGCAAAAAUACAAAUGAAUCAAAACUUUCAACAACGGAUCUCUUGGUUCUGGCAUCGAUGAAGAACGCAGCGAAAUGCGAUAAGUAAUGUGAAUUGCAGAAUUCAGUGAAUCAUCGAAUCUUUGAACGCACAUUGCGCCCGCCAGCAUUCUGGCGGGCAUGCCUGUUCGAGCGUCAUUUCAACCCUCGAGCCCGACUCUUUUGAGGACGGCUCGGCGUUGGGGGACGGCAGACUCCCCCCGGCAUCUCGCCGGGGACGCCGCCCCCGAAAUCUAGUGGCGGCCCUCCGAGGCGACCUCUGCGUAGUAACUUGUUCUCGCACCGGAAAGCUCAGAGCGGCCACGCCGUAAAACCCCAACUUUUUUCAGGUUGACCUCGAAUCAGGUAGGACUACCCGCUGAACUUAAGCAUAUCAAUAUAACAAG
rnacentral:rRNA from 1 species